GCGCGGGGCAACCUGGCGGCGAGUGGCGAACGGGUGAGUAAUAUAUCGGAACGUACCCAAGAGUGGGGGAUAACGUAGCGAAAGUUACGCUAAUACCGCAUACGAUCUAAGGAUGAAAGCAGGGGAUCUUCGGACCUUGUGCUCCUGGAGCGGCCGAUAUCUGAUUAGCUAGUUGGUGAGGUAAAGGCUCACCAAGGCCACGAUCAGUAGCUGGUCUGAGAGGACGACCAGCCACACUGGAACUGAGACACGGUCCAGACUCCUACGGGAGGCAGCAGUGGGGAAUUUUGGACAAUGGGCGAAAGCCUGAUCCAGCAAUGCCGCGUGAGUGAAGAAGGCCUUCGGGUUGUAAAGCUCUUUUGUCAGGGAAGAAACGGUGAGGGCUAAUAUCCUUCGCUAAUGACGGUACCUGAAGAAUAAGCACCGGCUAACUACGUGCCAGCAGCCGCGGUAAUACGUAGGGUGCAAGCGUUAAUCGGAAUUACUGGGCGUAAAGCGUGCGCAGGCGGUUUUGUAAGUCUGACGUGAAAUCCCCGGGCUCAACCUGGGAAUUGCGUUGGAGACUGCAAGGCUAGAAUCUGGCAGAGGGGGGUAGAAUUCCACGUGUAGC
rnacentral:rRNA from 2 species